AAGCCGGGCUGGCCCUCGGAGUGUCGCCGGGAAAGCUUUGCACAUCAUGGCCUCCGAGGCUCCUUGUAGGGCCAUUAAGACCCGGUAACUCUCCAGGUGGUCCAGGGAAUCAGCCUUGCCGUUGUAGGGCUCCACCUGGGGCAUCUUGAACCGUGGUGGGACCGGUUCAUCUUCGAUCUCCGGGGAGAAGGGAGACUUCGUAGUGAACUCGAAGUCGUUAUCACGUCCUGAUUUUUUCCCGUGGAGUGCCUGGAUUUGGCGCUCCAACUUCUCGACCUUCUUGUCGAGUUCAUCAUUCUGGAGGAUCGCUGCAGCGGUUCGUUCGAGCGCAGGUUGCCCUGGAACCGACUCAGCUUCUGAAGGCUGUGGCCAGCCUCCGUAGCCUCUGGCUGGGUGCUCUCUCCAGAGGGAGGCCUGGACUUGGGAGUCCUGGCCUCGAAGCGGAAGUCCGCUUGUAGGAGGCUCCGGUUGAGCUGGAGCUGGAGGAGAC
rnacentral:lncRNA from 1 species